AUGGAUCCUUCACUGCUACUUGAACCACUCCAUACAAACUGUAGAGAGUGAAAGUAACAAUUUGUAGUGAGAGAAAUUCCAGAUAUCGAACUCCGGCGAAAAUCCGAAUCUCCUGCGAACCGGAUCUGAGUUAUGGUGAAAAUCCGAAUCUCCAGGUGGUGGUUUAAUGCCACAACGAAAGGUCGACGACUAGGGUUCCAGCAGCACAUAAAUCUCACCAGUUGUGGUUUCAGCCAGUAUCGUUAAAAAGCUUAAUACUGGAGCUCAUGAGUUGGUCAUGGAGGGAUAUAAUUGUAGAUGCAAGGAUGGAGUACGCAAAAUUUCUCCAAGAAAUGGAUAAAGAAGUUCAAAACUCACGACAUAUAAAAGAGAACAACAAAAGAUCUUGAUGAAUUUAUGAACAAGGUUAGGCGUUGUGCAAGUGUUUCCAAUGAUGAAAUUCGGGGAUCUAUCAAGUUGUUCAAUGAUGAGCUCACCUUGGAUAACAUCAGUAGACCUCUGUUUGUGAAUAUGUGCAAAUAUAAUGCCAUCGGCCUAUUUGGAACAGAUGCAUACGUGCGUUAUAUGCUUCGUAAGAGGCUGCAAGAGUAAGUUACCAUAAUACCAUAUCCAUAUCCUAGAUUUUUUGUUUAAAAAUUGACUGGUGAAACUAGGACCCUUGGCUGUAUUACAACGCAUGGGAAAGCUUAUAUCUUCAUUAAAGU
rnacentral:lncRNA from 1 species